CGGAAAGUCUGACCGAGCAACGCCGCGUGAGUGAAGAAGGUUUUCGGAUCGUAAAACUCUGUUGUUAGAGAAGAACAAGGACGUUAGUAACUGAACGUCCCCUGACGGUAUCUAACCAGAAAGCCACGGCUAACUACGUGCCAGCAGCCGCGGUAAUACGUAGGUGGCAAGCGUUGUCCGGAUUUAUUGGGCGUAAAGCGAGCGCAGGCGGUUUCUUAAGUCUGAUGUGAAAGCCCCCGGCUCAACCGGGGAGGGUCAUUGGAAACUGGGAGACUUGAGUGCAGAAGAGGAGAGUGGAAUUCCAUGUGUAGCGGUGAAAUGCGUAGAUAUAUGGAGGAACACCAGUGGCGAAGGCGGCUCUCUGGUCUGUAACUGACGCUGAGGCUCGAAAGCGUGGGGAGCAAACAGGAUUAGAUACCCUGGUAGUCCCUA
rnacentral:rRNA from 1 species